rnacentral:rRNA from 1 species
UUCCGGUUGAUCUGCCGGACCUGACUGCUAUCGGAUUGAUACUAAGCCAUGCGAGUCUUUGUAGCAAUACAAGGCAGACGGCUCAGUAACGCGUAGUCAACCUACCCUAUGGACGGGAAUAACCUCGGGAAACUGAGUAUAAUGCCCGAUAGAACACUAUACCUGGAAGGGUUUGUGUUCCAAAUGAUUUAUCGCCGUAGGAUGGGACUGCGGCCUAUCAGUUUGUUGGUGAGGUAAUGGCCCACCAAGACUAUUACAGGUACGGGCUCUGAGAGGAGUGGCCCGGAGAUGGGUACUGAGACACGGACCCAGGCCCUAUGGGGCGCAGCAGGCGAGAAAACUUUGCAAUGUGCGAAAGCACGACAAGGUUAAUCCGAGUGAUUUGUGCUAAACGAAUCUUUUGUUAGUCAUAGAACCACUAACGAAUAAGGGGUGGGCAAGUUCUGGUGUCAGCCGCCGCGGUAAAACCAGCACCUCAAGUGGUCAGGAUGAUUAUUGGGCCUAAAGCAUCCGUAGCCGGCUCUGUAAGUUUUCGGUUAAAUCUGUACGCUCAACGUACAGGCUGCCGGGAAUACUGCAGAGCUAGGGAGUGGGAGAGGUAGACGGUACUCGGUAGGAAGGGGUAAAAUCCUUUGAUCUAUUGAUGACCACCUGUGGCGA